rnacentral:tRNA from 1 species
GCCUUCGUGGUGUAAUGGUAAGCACGCUCGACCUGCAUUCGAGAGGUCCGUGGUUCGAGUCCCGGCAGAUGCA